rnacentral:rRNA from 1 species
UACAGAGGGGGCAAGCGUUGUUCGGAAUUACUGGGCGUAAAGGGCGCGUAGGCGGCCGCCUAAGUCAGACGUGAAAUCCCUCGGCUCAACCGGGGAACUGCGUCUGAUACUGGGUGGCUUGAAUCCGGGAGAGGGAUGCGGAAUUCCAGGUGUAGCGGUGAAAUGCGUAGAUAUCUGGAGGAACACCGGUGGCGAAGGCGGCAUCCUGGACCGGCAUUGACGCUGAGGCGCGAAGGCCAGGGGAGCAAACGGG